rnacentral:tRNA from 1 species
CGGGGCGUGGCGCAGUGGUAGCGCACCCGCUUUGGGAGCGGGGGGUCGCAGGUUCGAGUCCUGCCGCCCCGACCA